GUUUCAUGUGUCGAUCGAGCUCUGUUGAGAACUGCGCUCUCUCUGUGCUUCACCGGAGUAGACAUAAACAAGUGAUUAAAAGCUAAAGGUUUAGUUUUCUGCAGUAGCAUACGCGCUGUCAGGGCUACAUCGGCAGAUUUUUCUGUGGCUAACAGAGAGGAUAGAUCGCUCUUCUGGGAAGACGUCGAAAAGUAACUAAGCCUCACUCACUCGGCCACAGGUAGCUGUUUCGGCUCUGAAUAUCAAAGUACAGGUCAUGCGGGUGUCUUCGGACGGACAGAGAGCUGUGAUCCAGUGCUGCUGUUACUGCUAGUGACUCCGGUGGACUGAUCGCUUUUGCCGCAAGCUGAGCAGGAACGACGGAAUUAAGCAUGUCCCGAAGAAAGCAGAGCAAACCCCGGCAAAUCAAACAUUUCAUAUCUGUUGGCUUUUGAAGUACACAUCGCAAGCUCCACGAGUCCCCCAAUGACAUCCCAUUAGGAGUAAUGGAAAGGAAAAGUAUCUGGCCCUAUAUCACCCCAAAGGUGAGUCGCUCCCAUUACCAAACAUAGGAACUCAUAUGGAUGUCACAUUGCUCCUCUUAUCUUACCUUUUUGCAUAUGUAAACGUAAAGGCGACACUGUAUAAUAAGUGUGCGAUUGCAUUGUUUGUUACACUCUUGCUGGAAGGAUUACAAUCCUGGCCCCUCCAAAAGAGGUAUCCGGUAUCAUGGAAGACUGUGUUGAGAGGAAAUAUUUUUGUGUGUCUUUUUGUGCGUCACUCUCCCAUUGGUGAAGAUUGUGCUGAUAGAUUAUCCAUCCCUCCCUGAUGGCGAGAUUAGCUCACGGCCUUAGUGGGGCCACAUCCCAGGGCUUAUAUUUUGGCGGUUGAGAUGGGAGACAAGAUAGGUGAGGCGGUGAUCUCUGUGGAGAUAGCCCAACGUUGAGGGGGGUGGGGACAUUGGGAUUAUAAUUACAUUUGGCUGAAGCAUUCUCAUCUUUGUCAUGUUUGUGUUGUUGUUGUUUGGGACUGGCUGGGUGUAUCUCUAGAUAAGUUAAAAAAGAGAGAGAGAGAAAAGCAGAUAAGGGUAGAGUAGGAUGGCAGGGCUGAUAAGGGCUGGGGGAGAGAGGCAGGAAUACAGAAAUGGUAGAUGGAUGUAUGCUGCGUUUUAAAAGCAGCUGCCUCAGUGAGAUCACAGAGGCUGAUAAGCGAGCCGUUGAGAUGAUUGGGAGAUAACAGAGAGGAGAUUCUCACAGAUAACAGCCGAGUGACAUCAUUCAAACGGUUCAGAGGUCGGCAUGAAUUAUUCAUGAGCUCCCAGAAUUUGGCGUCAGCAGCUGGAGGAUGUUUGAGAAGCCCGGGCCAGACAAUGCACUUGUUUGAGUUACCACCUCCUGUACCUUGGGCUUGCACUUUUGAAAGAGUGGACAACUGAUGGGAUCUCUUCCUGUUUUUGUUGAAAGCAUUCUCAGAGCUUUCGCUGCUGUCAGGUUCAGCGUCAAUUGAUAUUCCGCCAAAAAUACUGAAAAGAAUGAGAGAUCACAGGCUUUCGCACACAUAUUUUCACACAUACCCACACAAGCUGUUGCGUCCUGUUGGUUUUGCUCGUGUGUUUUCCUUCUUUGUUCUGCUUUUAGCUCGAUGUGAACUUUUGAUAAAGCUUGGGGCCUGAUCACCGGUAUAGAUAAAGAUCGCCAAGUGCGAUAAGAGUUGUUAUCAGCGCAGAGCAGGCAGGAGCUGAGGCUUUGCUGCAAUAACAAAGCUCCACGUAAGAACAGCAGGGCCCUGGACCCUGGCAAUCAGUUCCAGCCCUAAUGUGAUUAAUGUUGUUGUAUAAUUAGAUGAUAGGUGUGAAUGCAUUCCCCCCCGCCCUUAGUUACUCCCCCACCCUCUCAGUUCCCACCCUUGUGUUUUUCUCCUAACAACCGUUGUGGUUGAUUAAUUUAAUUAAAAC
ensembl:lncRNA